AACGUAGGUACCGAGCGUUAUCCGGAUUCACUGGGCGUAAGGCGUGUGCAGGUGGUUUGGUAAGUCGGGCAUGAAAACUCUUGGCUCAACUGAGAGACGCUGUUCGAUACUGUCAAACUUGAGGGUGUGAGAGGGAGGUGGAAUUCCGCAUGUAGUGGUGAAAUGCGUAGAUAUGCGGAGGAACACCAGUGGCGAAGGCGGCCUCCUGGCACACUCCUGACACUCAUACACGAAAGCUAGGGGAGCGAACGGG
rnacentral:rRNA from 1 species